rnacentral:rRNA from 1 species
CCUACGGUGGGCAGCAGUGGGGAAUAUUGCACAAUGGGGGAAACCCUGAUGCAGCGACGCCGCGUGAGUGAAGAAGUAUUUCGGUACGUUAAGCUCUAUCAGCCGGGAAGCAAAUGACGGUACCUGUCUAAGAAGCCCCGGCUAACUACGUACCAGCAGCCGCGGUACUACGUAGGGGGCCAGCGUUAUCCGGAUUUACUGGGUGUAAAGGGAGCGUAGGCGGCAGCGCAAGUCUGGAGUGAAAUCGCAUGGCUUAACCAUGGAACUGCUUUGGAAACCGUGCAGCUAGAGUGCAGGAGAGGUAAGCGGAAUUCGUGGUGGAGCGGUGAAAUGCGUAGAUAUUAGGAGGAACACCAGUGGCGAAGGCGGCUUACUGGACUGUAACUGACGUUGAGGCUCGAAAGCGUGGGGAGCAAACAGGAUUAGAUACCCCAGUAGUC